rnacentral:lncRNA from 1 species
AUAGUUUCCUUGGUAACUUCUGUGAAGAAACACAGUUUAUAUCCUUGAAUAGGUAGGAAAAGAAUGAACAGGAUAAGUAAAAGAAUCAUGGCAACCUUGUCGGGGAUAUUCAGAAACAGAAAAUAACACCUGCUUUCUCACUUCCAGAGCUAUUAGCUUCCCAGUUUGCACAGUUCAUCAAGAAGUAAUGCCGGGCCACUGGCACAAAUGAUGAGGCAUCUCCUGGAAGCUUAACUUCCUAUCCAUCCCAUCUCUUGGACAGACGAUGCCAGUUAAUUACUUUGAAUGUUCAUGUUGCUGAGGAGGCAGAGGGCUGAGUUCUUCCAUCCAUCGCCUUCAAGUGUCAGGCGGCUUCCGGUUGGACAAGAUGGCUACCCCAGUGGGCUUGUUUCCUCUCUGGUCUCUUUUUCUGUCUAAGACUCACUCCAUACCAGC